rnacentral:lncRNA from 1 species
CAAAGUGCUGGGAUUACAGGCGUGAGCCACUGCGCCCGGCCAAGUUUUGACUGUGUUUUGACUGAGAUGAGCCACAUGAGGUGAGAUGUGAAAUUCUCCACUUCUGGGGUCAGCACGGAGAAAGUUUCUGAUUUGGGAGCAUUUUGGAUUAUGUGUUUUCAGGUUAGAAGCGCUCAACCUACAUCCUAAGAAAGCUACGAAAAUCUGUCUGCUCAGACACAACAUGAGAAGGGGAUGCUGAGGACGUGGAAGCAGCCUGUGAACCGGGCGUUCUCGGCAGCUGGUCUCUGCGGAGCUCACCAUCGUUCACAUGCAUCUCUGUCGAGCUCUGUGGGCUCGGAGCUGAGGAGCAGCCAUGUUAAGGAAAGCCAGGCUCACAGGCCCCCUCUGAGGCUUCGCACUCUGUGGCCAGAGGGUGACACAGAUGAUAGGCAUCCUCAUGUCACAUGAGAGGGAGCUUCCUCCAAGUGACGUAACCUGGGCAUCCGUCAUGGAGGAGGGGUGUUGAAUUUGGAAGCUUUCCCCUGGAGGAACCGCUUUGGCUCAGGCAUCAAGAGAUCACAGGUGACUAGUGACGGUCAUAUUGACUCCACCUAGUCCCGUCCUUUCUUGGUCUUUGAGCUGGUCCUUGGGGUCCUCAUGUGGGAUAGUGGGCUAGGCAGGGCUGGCCUCUCUGUGGUUGGGCUGGUCCCUAGGGUGCCUUGGUGGCACGGGUGGGUUGGCUCAUUGUGGAAGUGGAGUUCGGGGAACCUUGACUCCCUCUCAGCACAGCCUCCCCUGCCUGCCUCCCUGAAGCCGCCUGGAGCCUUGGGUCUCUCACUCUUGACACAGCCUAUUUCCAGCUGAGCCUGGUACCUUCUUUCUUCUUUCCAUGAUGCUUGUCCUCCUAAGACCCACUCGGUGUCAGGGACCACCCGCUCGGUAUUUCAAGGCUGAUGGGAAGCCCGAGCUGUGAGGGCGGUCCUGGUUCCCGGGCCUGGCGCAUCUGAGGUCGCAUGGACCUCAGCCCCACACCCCUCCUCUUGCUGCAGAGGCCCGCGCUGUCCUCACAGGAAGCGGACACAUCUCCCAAUCUGUAUGAGGCCUCCAGGCCAAGGGGGAAGCUUUCUCCAUAUUCAGGUUUUCCCCCAUGAAUGUUCUUAAACCUGAUGUAGCUGUUUCUGGUCUGCUAACUGGAGCCAGGGGAGAACAAAAUGGUAGCAACUGACUCAAGGGAGAGCUGCAGGGAGAAGCCGGCAUUGCCACUUCAAGGGAACAUCUGUCUUCAUGUUGGAGCCGCUGUGUCACCUGUAAACAGUGAACUUGAACUCUGCCCUGCAUCACUGCAGUGCCGGCCCUGCAGGCUCCCUCCUGGGCAGCAAAGCCUCGGCAGCAAGACGCCUGUCCACCAGGCCUGCGCGUGAAACCAGGCUCAGCUCUGAAGAGGGGAACUGAUGGAGGGGACCAGCCACGGGGACGCCAAGAAAGGCCUAUUUGAGAAUUAGGAACAAACAGAGUUUCAAAGACCAUUUGCUUCCCUGGCCCCUCUGGGAGUGAAGUGACUGUACCAAAUCCUUCCACGUCCUCCCGCACCACUCGCUUGGCCAGAGGAGCAUCUGGCUUUUCCCUGGACGCACCCCACCCUCUCCUCAUGAUCUUGUCCUCUUCAAGGAGGACCAGGCCUCCCUGUCCUACACCCCACAUCCCUGGGAAAUCACUGUCGGGGCUGCCCCAGCCACUAUUUCACCCUGGCUGAGCUCAGCUGCUACUUCUGGGCUCCAGGAGGACCCUGCACCCCUCACGAUGCUCUUGUUCUCAUCACAGUCGUCCCUUUGGGAACACGUGACCUCUGCCCCUCCUUCACAUGCUGCCCACUGAGCUCAGCCACGGGGUCCUUGAUUGCACGGACUUUGCACCCAGGGCCUGUGCAAGGCCUGGCGGGCAGCCGCCCACGAGGGGCGCUUGUUCCAUGGAUAAAACGCCCUCUAUUCUGCCUCUCCUCGUGCCCCUUCCUUUGAGGGCUGCUCCAGGAAGGCUCAGAGCCACCAGCCAGUUCUCCCGCCUGGGAAUCCUGAGGGCUUCGUGUCUGCAGCAUCCAUUUUCCUGCCCUUUCAGAGUCUUCCAGACAAAGGAGCUACAGAGCUAUAGUAAGACCUCUGUGGUCAUAUGGCAAACCAUCUGCCCGUGGACCCCUGCUCAUAUGGCAAGCUGUCUGCCCACAGACCCCACAGAGACCUGGCACAGGAGCCAGGUGGAGGGCAGUCACCACCUCGGCCCUCUGUCGUAGCUUCCCAACUCUGGGUCCAUCCCAGGGGCUCCCACAGCCUCCCGUCUCCUGCACCCUUUGCAUAAAACAUCUUUUGGAUAAAACAACCUUUGCAGCCUCUUAGGAAGGAUGAGGUCCGCCGUGCUGAGCCUCCAAGACCAGGUGACCUCAGCAAGGUGGCUGCGGACAUGCUGCCUUUCCAGGAAGUGGCAGUCAGAGAUGCCAGGGUGGCCCCAUGACCCCAGGCCAGGAUGUGCCCUGCCAAGGGAAGGCCAUGGAAGGCGGCGUUUACCUCCACGUCCCCAGGGCUGCACUGGAGCUACUUAAGAGAAGCAUUUUUAAAUAAAAGUUCAGCCUGUUACAAAAUUCCCUAAUGUGAGAUACAGGCUGGAAUGAGGCAAUUCCACAGAGAAAUCAUUGUGGGAAUAAUUCACAUCUAAUGUAGUUUCAUGAAGGAUGCUAUUUCCAGAGUCUAACUUUUUCUCCCUUUUUCUCUCACUUUUUGAUUUUAUUGCUGUUUUUUUUUUUUUUUACAUUAGGAGAAAUUGAAAACCUGUUUAGGUUUCAUAGCUUCACAUUUCUGAAGCAAGUGACACAGCAGAGAGUUGGGAUGCAUCUGAUUUGUGCCUCACAAUGAGGCGUGCACGUCACUGGUUAAUUAUGUGGCGUUCCAUAAAGGAGAGCUGUUGGGAUAAAAGGAUGAAUUGCGAGCAUUAACCUUCUUUUUCCCUUUUUAAGGGGACCACUUGUCAGUCACAACGGCAGUAAAGCCAGGUGUAAUGAAAUUGGAUUUUGGGAGAGGCUGCCAUUGAGUUGAUGCCAUGGGCCGCUUGGUCUGGGAGAGGCUGGAUUCUCAGUGCAGCCCCAGAAAGAGCCGGGUGGCAGGGGUUGAGGGCAUGACAGGUCCAGGGACAGGGGCCUUAGACCAGAUCCAGCUGCAGAGCACGUGAGCCCUGACCCCAUGGUCAAGACCCUGGACUUCAAGCAGAAAGGCCACUGGGCUUGUGGUCAGAGAUGGUGUGAACCUCCAUCAAGGAUCCCUUCCUCUGCCUGUUCAUAAAACCGAGAGGUGGGCUCUUCUCUCCAGCCAACCUGUUCUGCCUGGGGCCAGGCUGUGAAGGGGCUGAGGGACAAGUCCACUGCCAUCGGGGCCUCUCCCUGAAGGGAGUCUUCUGCCCCAAGAAACAUUCUUCCCUUACCCGCAGGCUCAUUGGUUUAUUUUAGCCUCUAGUGGAAGGACACUGGACAGAUGUCCUUUGAUUUGAGGACACACACCUUUGGAUCUGAGCUGGCUCCGUGCCCCACUGGAGCCCACACAGUGACUGUGGCCACCGCUGCUGGGAAGCCAGGACCCACCAUCACGGACAGUUUCUCCACUGUCUGGAGAAUGGAAAGUCCAGGACCAAGGCAUCAGCAGAUCUGGUGCCUGAUGAGAGCUGCCAAGACCCUAGCUAGGCCCAGGCCCAGUGCUAAGCCACCAGGCUUCCAAGAUGGCGCCUCCUUGCUGUGUCCUCCCAUGGCAGGAGGGAGCAAGGGCUAAGAGGGCCUAGCUGGUUCCCUUCGGGCCUUCCAUGAGGUCGCUCAUUCCAUCCAUGAGGGCUCUGCUCUCAUCACUUCACAUCUCCUAAAGGUUUCACCUCUUCAUAUCGUCCUAUUGGGGCUUAGCUUCCUACUUUGGGGUUUUGUGGGGACUCACGUAUUCAUGCCCUAGUGUGACCUAAUGUGACAUCACGCCUCUCCCCUCCCAGCUGGGUUGCGGUGGAGACAGCCAGCUGUCCCCUUAAGAUGCCCACCCCCCACUUGGAGGAGGUCUGAAGUGGAAAGUGGCUAGGGAGGCUGCCAUCACAUUUCCCAGGCUGCCCCCAGGGCUAGCGCUCGCCGGCGGGAUGUGAGCAGAAGCAGCAGUUAGGAGAGUGCCUUCCCCACCUCCCGGCCCCUACUGGCCUCUGGAUUCCAACCUCUCUGAAACUCGGUAUGGCAGGGCCACAAACCAGAAGCAGAUGUGUCCCUGAAUCGUUUGCGGUGACCCACAUUCAUCCUCAUGGGAGAGACGCACCAUCUUCGAAUGUGAACGGUUGACAUGACGGGGGCGUUUUCCCAUGAGGCUGAGAAGUCCUGUGCAUGCAUUCCCUUAAAAUAGAGACGUGAGCACCUGUGAUUGGGGCCAGCUUGGAUGUUCUACCAGAGGCAGUUUGCUGUCUGGUCAAAGAGGUCUUAGGGUGCUUUUUUGUCAUCAGCCUCAUUAAACAGUGAGCUGAUCUUAAGUGACGAGACCAUGAAGGUCACCACUGUGACAUACUGGAAGUCUUUUUUUUUUUGAGACGGAGUCUCACUCUGUCACCCAUGCGAGAGUGCAGUGGGACGUACUGGAAGUCUUAAGUGAGGUCAUCUACCACCCAGCUGUGCUCUGUAACCCAGAGAGCGCAGCUCGGAGGGCUGAAGACAGGUAUACGCAUAUCCAUGAACACUGUCACUACUCCUGAGAAGGCGUCACUGCUGUCAUUGAAAAGCUUUGAGGGCUGUUGUCUAUGGUUCUUGAAUUUGUAAGUGGAAUUCCUGGCAGCUGUGUGAUAAAUCAAGCACAUCGGUGUCGGCGUGACCUUUGACUUCUGUCCCCACAAUCUGUGAACCAGAAUAAACCUCUUCACUCAAACUUCCACUUAGGAUGGCACCUGGUUAAUAUGAAUCAUGAAGCAAUCAAAACUGAGGUGUACGUUUCCACAGACGGCAGACUUAAUUAUUUAAGUGUUUCUUUUUUCUAAAUAAACUGUAAAAAAUGAACAUAUUUUAUUUUAAAAAUGGAAACAAUUUAGAAGCUUAUAGAAUCAAGCUCCUCCCAACCCUAUUCUUCUCAUAUUGGAAACUUCUAUUGAUAAUCAGAUAAUCAGAAUAUUUCCAGUGUAUUCCAUGCAAGCCUAUGGAUUCCUGAAAAUGUGGAGAGGAUGUUAUUGACUUGAAUUCCGCUACGUUACUGUUUUACUUAGCAGUGUACCUUAAAGACCAAAAUGUAGUGAACUUGAAAAAAUCUGUUUUUUAUUUUUAUUUUUUUUUGGAGAUGGAGUCUUGCUCUGUCACCCAGG